rnacentral:snoRNA from 1 species
GUAACAAUUUUACUUGAUGGUCCCCAUUCAGUUUGCUAUUAACUGAUCUGCAAUAUUUUUGGAAAA